GUCUACAGCCAUGCCACCCUGAACAAGCCCAAAUCCGUCUGAUCUUGAAGCUAAGCAGGGUUGGGCCUGGUGGUUAGCACUUGGAUGGGAGACCACCUAGGAAGACCAGGUGCUAUAGCCG
rnacentral:rRNA from 1 species